rnacentral:rRNA from 1 species
CCCUUAGAUGUCCGGGGCUGCACGCGCGCUACACUGAAGGAAUCAGCGUGCUAAAACCAUUGUCGAAAGUCAUUGGUAAACCCAUUAAAAUCCUACGUGAUUGGGAUCGGGAAUUGCAAUUAUUUCCCUUGAACGAGGAAUUCCCAGUAAGUGUGGGUCAUAAGCUCGCGUUGAUUACGUCCCUGCCCUUUGUACACACCGCCCGUCGCUGCCCGGGACUGAGCCGUUUCGAGAAAAGCGGGGACUGCUGCUGUCGGGGCUUUCGGGCCUUGGCUUCGGUGGAAACCGCUUUAAUCGCAGUGGCUUGAACCGGGCAAAAGUCGUAACA